rnacentral:rRNA from 1 species
AUACGGAGGAUCCGAGCGUUAUCCGGAUUUAUUGGGUUUAAAGGGUGCGCAGGCGGCCAUUUAAGUCAGCGGUUAAAUCGUGGGGCUCAACCCCAUUCUGCCGUUGAUACUGGGUGGCUUGAUUGCGGUCGAGGUUGGCGGAAUUCGUUGUGUAGCGGGGAAAUGCAUAGAUAUGACGAAGAACACCGAUUGCGUAGGCAGCUGACCAGACCGCAAAUGACGCUCAUGCACGAAAGUGCGGGGAUCGAACAGGAUUAGAUACCCUGGUAGUCCGCACAGUAAACGAUGAAUACUUGUUUUCGGCGAUAUAAUGUCGGAGGCAAAGCGAAAGCGAUAAGUAUUCCACCUGGGGAGUACGCCGGCAACGGUGGAACUCAAAGGAAUUGACGGGG